rnacentral:sRNA from 1 species
GGAAGGAUCAUUACAGAAUCGUCAACGGGUUGUUGCUGGUCCUCGAACGGGGACAUGUGCACGCUCUGUUUACACAUCCACUCACACCUGUGCACCCUCCGUAGUUCUGUGGUCUGGGGGACCCUGUCUUCCUGCCGUGGUUCUACGUCUUUACACACACACUGUAAUAAAGUCUUAUGGAAUGUAUGCCGCGUCUAACGCAAUACAAUACAACUUUCAGCAACGGAUCUCUUGGCUCUCGCAUCGAUGAAGAACGCAGCGAAAUGCGAUAAGUAAUGUGAAUUGCAGAAUUCAGUGAAUCAUCGAAUCUUUGAACGCACCUUGCGCCCCUUGGCUAUUCCGAGGGGCAUGCCUGUUUGAGUAUCAUGAACACCUCAACUCUCAUGGUUCGCCGUGAUGAGCUUGGACUCUGGGGGUUUUGCUGGCCUGCGGUCGGCUCCCCUCAAAUGAAUCAGCCUCCCAGUGUUUGGUGGCAUCACGGGUGUGAUAAAUAUCUACGCUCGCGGUUGUCUGCCAGGUAACCUUUGGCGACAAAGGUUCGCUGGAGCUCACAGAUGUCUCUCCUCGGCGAGGACAGCUUUUUGAACGUUCGAUCUCAAAUCAGGUAGGACUACCCGCUGAACUUAAGCAUAUCAAUAAGCGGAGGAA